UACCAAGGGUUCCUUGUGAAACCCAAGCUGUCACUAGGCGAUUUCUCUCUCUUCGUGCAAACUUGAAAAUGGUAAAAUUUCGGAGUAUGGCAGGCUCUUCUCAGUCAUGGUAUGCCGAUGUCGGGCAAAUGAUUAAUUGCUUUGCACUCUCUCCACCAUAUCGCAGUCAAACAGGUACCUGGGAUUGAGGAACGAAGGAAUCAUCCAAGUUCAUUCUCGAUCAAGGUUGUGCCUAGAAAAGCCUGUUGGGCCUGAGCCCAAUCAUAUUCCUUGAUCGAGUCCGAAAAUAAGAAGAAAGGGAAGCUAACAUUAUUUAAGGCCCUAUCCAUGGGUAAAAAUGGAUCUUUGGUGGGCUUCGGUAGGCCCACCAGCUCAAUUUUCUUCCUUUCUGCCUUACUUUUACAUUUAUAUGUCAUAUGUGUAUUUAAUUGUAAACACUUGAAAAAAUAUUGAAAGCCUUAUGUAUGUGUAGGACUUAGGAAAAUGCUUAGUAUUUUAGGAAGACGCUCAAAAACACUUUCAAAUUCGGGUAAACCUCAAUCUGGUA